UUGAGUGGGAUUUCGUUCUACAACGCUGUUAAGAACAUUAAUCGUUUUCGAUUAUAAAAACAGAUUUAAUCAAACAAAACGAUGCUUGGCUAUAUCUCUGGGACCAUCAAGAUAAGAAAUCAGAAGAAGACGGCUCACUGUAAGUACAUAAUUACCGUCAGACCCGAAACUAGCAACCCCGGUGCCUUAGAAAAUGUGUUGUGUGGUUGUUGACUAUACUCAAACACUUGCAUAAGACUUAGUCGUCGUAAUAGGAUACUGCAGUUAGAUUAACAAGGUUAAUUCUAAGCUUUCUGCACAUAUAUUACAUGCCUAUAACAAAAAAAUAUAUAUUUACGACACUUUGCACACUUUGUCGGAUGUUUCGUUAUCUGGCAAAAGCAUACCGCAGGUUCACCAAAAACUAACAAGUGUUAUGAGGUUUAAGCAACAUGUCGGUGUCAUUCUACUGGUUGUGGGUAAGUCCAGGCCCUUGUUGUGUUGUACUGUAAAGUGGAAACUCUGCUGCAAUUUGAAUCGUCAGGCUAUUCGAAUAGCAACGUUUUUCAAUCGCUAGGUCAUAGGCUUCUCGAGUUGGGCUUUAUGAGAUCUGACAAACAGAUUCCAGAUGAAAUAAGAAAAAUCAAGCAACAUUACAGGGAUGCUAAGACUCACAAUGGAAAACCAGCCAGCGAUACGUAGAGGUCAGACACUUCAGUCUGGGAGUGUGGUGCAGUUUCUGGAAGAGAUGCAAAUCUCUGAGGUCCAGUUGACUUCAUCCAGCAGCACUACCAACUCCACCAGCACAACCAACUCCACCAGCACUACCAACUCCACCAGCACUACCAACUCCACCAGCACUACCAACUCCACCAGCACUACCAACUCCACCAGCACUACCAACUCCACCAGCACUACCAACUCCACCAGCACAACCAACUCCACCAGCACAACCAACUCCACCAGCACAACCAACUCCACCAGCACAACCAACUCCACCAGCACUACCAACUCCACCAGCACUACCAACUCCACCGGAGAGUGUUUCCUGCCACCCUCACUAGGACACCGUGUGAACACACCUGCUCAUCUCCCUGUGAGCCCCAUUAGUGAUGUGCAGUUCGCGAAAGAUUCAUUCGUUUUGAACAAAUCUUUUUAGUGACUCGGGACUCACAAGUUUUUUUUUUCUUCUAGUGACUCAAUUGUAACAUUUAUUCGGAUUUCUACAACAUGAUCACUUGCUUCUUACCCGGUCCUCCAGCUCAGUUCUCCAAUCAGCGUCUAUGUACAUUCACAGAGAAAAAUAGAUCAAGGCUGGAACAUCAUAGAAAUGUUUAUAAUAAUAAUUAAUGUAGUUAGUUGACCACUGAUGUCAUAAAAAACACAGAUGAUAAAGAAAG
ensembl:lncRNA